rnacentral:misc_RNA from 1 species
AGCAGCCGCGGUAAUUCCAGCUCCAAUAGCGUAUAUUAAAGUUGUUGCAGUUAAAAAGCUCGUAGUUGAAUUUCGGGAUCAAUAUAUUGGUCAUGCUUAGGUAUGUACUGGUAUUGUUGAUUUCUCCCUUCUGAAGAACCAUGAUGUCAUUAAUUUGAUGUCGUGGGGAAUCAGGACUGUUACUUUGAAAAAAAUUAGAGUGUUUAAAGCAGGCUUUCGCUUGAAUACAUUAGCAUGGAAUAAUGAAAUAGGACGUUUGAUUCUAUUUUGUUGGUUUCUAGGAUCGACGUAAUGAUUAAUAGGGAUAGUUGGGGGCAUUAGUAUUCAAUUGUCAGAGGUGAAAUUCUUGGAUUUAUUGAAGACUAACUACUGCGAAAGCAUUUGCCAAGGAUGUUUUCAUUAAUCAAGAACGAAAGUUAGGGGAUCGAAGACGAUCAGAUACCGUCGUAGUCUUAACCAUAAACUAUGCCGACUAGGGAUCGGAUGAUGUUAAUUUUUUAAUGACUCAUUCGGCGCCUUA